rnacentral:lncRNA from 12 species
GCAAACGUUCAGGGCCCCCCCUAGGCUCUCACGCGAAGGCCUCAGCCCUCAGCUGAGGCCAGGCCGGAGGGCAGCAGGCCGAGGCUGCCACCUCAUCUCCAGGCCCCUUCUGGAGGAGGACAGCACGCCGCACACAGGGUGUUGCCGGGUGAACCCAGCUUUAGUCCCGUGAGCCCCAGCUCAGCCGCCCCCAGAAAGGGCAGGAGGAUCAGCCCACGUUGCUUCCAGCCGCUCAGGGUGUUGUAACCGGUGUGCCGCAGCGGAGUCGUCGUGCACGGACACGCCUGGGGGCUCCCUUUGGAAUCCUGAUUUCCAGUCUUUCCAGGGUUGGAAGGAGCAGUGCUGGGGGGAUUCGGGGAGCCGGGAGGGGGAGGCCCUGCCGGAGUCUUACCCAGAGUCCACUCGUCACGGACACACAGCGAGGAGUGGUUGUUGAGCUGUUUUGAGGCAUCAGGCAUUCUGCCAGGUCGCGGGGUAAGGCCAUGGGCCCAGGCUCCUGGGGUUCACGGAGUCAUGGAGGGACACAGAUGACCCUUAUAAACACAGUGGAAAGAUUAAGUUAGGUAACAGGGCAGCAGCUUCUCGGUUCGAGGACAACAAAGGGCAGCCGGAGAGCGUGGGUUGAAUAACUGGAAGCAAUUUUAGGUCUUGCAGCAAGAGUGGGGUGUCCCGAAGGGUAGCAUCUGCGUGACCCCGUGAGAGCUGCAGGCUCAGCAGAGAGAACAGCUUGUGUGCUUCUGGUGUGUCCACAAGGAGGCCAGCGUGGCUGGCGUGAGACGUGACCCCCGUCCUCCAGACCGAGGCUCGCUGGUUGUGAGGCGGGACGUUGCCCGUAGUUGUGAGGACGGCAGGCACACACCUGCACCAUCCCGGGCGAACCAGGACAAUGGUCACCCAGGUAUCGUCUGCUCCCAUUUUCGCCGCCAUUUUGUGGUUAUGCCUUUACGUAAAUGUACCAUAAACAUCCUUUGUGGUUAUUUUAGUGGUAUUUACGACAGAAGAAAAAAAAUGACACAAAAUGCACGUAUGUGGUUUGCUUGCUUUCACUCACCUAAGAGGAUUUUGUUGUUGGUUUUACUUUUACCAAAGAUGAAUAGAUUGUAAGUUUUACCAAAUAAAUUUUCUUUAUUUAUGGAGAUGGUCA